GACGAACGCUGGCGGCGUGCCUAAUACAUGCAAGUAGGACGCAGUUGCUAACGGGUGAGUAACGCGUAUGUCACUCCCUCUUAGAGGGGGUUAUCUAUUUGAAACGAUAGCUAAUACCGCAUACUAGUAGAUGGACCUGCGUGGUAUUAGCUAGUAGGUAGGGUAAUGGCCUACCUAGGCAACGAUACAUAGCCGACCUGGGAGGGUGAACGGCCACACUGGGACUGAGACACGGCCCAGACUCCUUCGGGGAGCAGCAGUAGGGAAUCUUCGGCAAUGGGGGGAACCCUGACCGAGCAAAGCCGCGUGAGUGAAGAAGGGUUUCGGAUCGUAAAGCUCUGUUGUUAAGGAAGCGGUACUUAACCAGAAAGGGACGGCUAACUACGUGCCAGCAGCCGCGGUAAUUC
rnacentral:rRNA from 1 species